rnacentral:rRNA from 1 species
UACAGAGGGGGCAAGCGUUGUUCGGAAUUACUGGGCGUAAAGGGCGCGUAGGCGGCCUUCUAAGUCGCACGUGAAAUCCCUGGGCUCAACCCAGGAACUGCGUCCGAUACUGGAAGGCUUGAAUCCGGGAGAGGGAUGCGGAAUUCCAGGUGUAGCGGUGAAAUGCGUAGAUAUCUGGAGGAACACCGGUGGCGAAGGCGGCAUCCUGGACCGGUAUUGACGCUGAGGCGCGAAAGCCAGGGGAGCAAACGGG